rnacentral:rRNA from 1 species
UACGAAGGGGGCUAGCGUUGUUCGGAAUUACUGGGCGUAAAGCGUAUGCAGGCGGAUCGUUAAGUCGGGGGUGAAAUCCCGAGGCUCAACCUCGGAACUGCCUUCGAUACUGGCGACCUUCGAGUCCGGGAGAGGUGAGUGGAACUCCGAGUGUAGAGGUGAAAUUCGUAGAUAUUCGGAAGAACACCAGUGGCGAAGGCGGCUCACUGGCCCGGUACUGACGCUGAGAUACGAAGCGUGGGGAGC